UGUAUUCUCUAGCAAUAAUUCCUCCAAAAUCAACAUUGUCUGGCAGCAACACGAAAUGAUCUGGAUUUGUAUUCAGUACUAGUAGGCACCACAAUAACCCCAACUCUCUAUUGUUCCCGUUGCGGUCAACUAAGUGACAAAAAAAUCUAUUGUGUAGCAAAUAUAAUAAGAGAAAUUUCAAUGCAGUAUUAUAAAUGAGCAAGAAAAGGUCCCAGCAAAUCCUAGGGAUUUCUCGCAAUUUUAAGACUCCAAAGACCACAGUUGCAUGGGAUAUCCUACAUAAACAUUUACAAUAAUGACUUACUAUGGAUUUGUCAGUUUAUACACACCUCUAUUAUAAAAUCUUGAAUAUCAAUCCCUUUCUUCAAUUUGUGAAACAAUCCAAUUCCAACGACAUUAUCUUAGAUAGAAAGAGAAAGGCAGAGUCUUGACAAAGAAAACCUCCGUGUUAAUACCAUUCGGAUGCAUAAACAAGUAUAUCUAAAAGGGUUAAUAAAAAACAAAAUUCAAACAACUUACUUAACAAGAUAUGUAAAAUUUCUUUUCUGAGAUUUAUUCAGAGGAAUCCCUUCUUCUUUUGAGCACCUAAAUCAAGAGAUUGUCAUAUAUGCAAGUCAAGCAGACGAGAUAACAGGAAAUUCUUAACUCAUAGAGGAUAUACUAAUCAAACGUUUUAUAAUGCAAAAUGUUUUAGGAUUUCGUUGAAUAUACUCUGGCUUAUCUAAUAUCAAGGAUUUGUCAUUAGCAAAACCCGAUGGUCAAAGUAGUGUAACCCAAGUUUCAAGUUAAUAUCUUUUAGUAGCUAAGGGGAAAAGACAACUCCAUCAUAUUCUUCAUCGCAGUUUCAAGCAACUAAGAUGGUGCCUCUCUUCUUUAGGAUUGGCCGACAAAGAACAAGAAAUAUGAAAAAAGUAACUAAAUGACAAGGCACAUCAAAAUAAAGACAAGCUCCAAUCCCAAAUCCACAUUCCUUCCCUCACCAUGGAAGGAUACAAAAGACUAGGCAAGAUAAUGAAGAAGGGUGUGACUUAAAAUCUAGUGAGCAACUUCUUUCGAGUAAAAAUUCAAACAAAGACUACUGAAAAAGACAACUGCACUAAAGAUGGGUUCUAUAAUCUUCUAAAAACAUGACGCAAAAACCUUAGUUGUUUUCUUUUGAAUGCUACAACAUUUAGUCCUUUAGCUGUUGAUAACGAAUUUAACUGAAGUGAAUGAAAGGAUCCUACGUAACCAUUAAUGUAUAACCACAUAAAUAGCAAGACCACCAAUACUCUAUUAGCAAGAAAGCUACCCAAUGAGGAAAUAAAAUAAAUAAAUCCAAAUUAAUAUCCAGGGAGAUAAUGUGGCUCAUUGGAUAAUAAAGGUAAACUACUAA
rnacentral:lncRNA from 1 species